rnacentral:rRNA from 1 species
GAUGAACGCUGGCGGCGUGCCUAACACAUGCAAGUCGAGCGGGAUCUUUUUAAAUGACGCUUCGGUUGAUUUUAAAAAGUGAGAGCGGCGGACGGGUGAGUAACGCGUAGGCAACCUGCCCUUUGCAGAGGGAUAGCCAUUGGAAACGAUGAUUAAAACCUCAUAAUGCCAGACUGAGACAUCUCUAACUGGCCAAAGAUUUAUCGGCAAAGGAUGGGCCUGCGUCUGAUUAGCUAGUUGGUGGGGUAACGGCCCACCAAGUCGACGAUUGGUAGCCGGACUGAGAGGUUGAACGGCCACAUUGGGACUGAGACACGGCCCAGACUCCUACGGGAGGCAGCAGUGGGGGAUAUUGCACAAUGGAGGAAACUCUGAUGCAGCAAACGCCGCGUGAGGGAAGAAGGUUUUCCGGAUUGUAAAACCUCUGUUUUUAGUUGAAGAAACAAAUGACGGUAGCUAAAGAGGAAGCCACGGCUAACUACGUG